GUGAAGAGCCGCGUCUUUUCAGAGAAUCAGACUCCACUUCUGAAACACGAAAGGUUAAAACACAAAAUUGAUUUGCCAGCUAUGUAGGAGGAAGGGCACCGUUCAUUCAGAGAGUCAGACAUGUUCAUCAUGAUCUUUUCAGUAAACUGU